AGUCGGCUUCCUUAGAAUUAUGGCGCGCCAAUUUCCCGGGAAACUCCUGAGCUAGGUGUCCAGAUCCAGAGUUACCUGCUGGUACAGAUCUACCUACAGACCUGAGACGCACCAGAGUCCACUGACGCGCUAGACCCCGAAGUUUGAUCCCGACUUUCUUCAUGGUCCAGGACCUGAAUCUGGAAACCAGGACAGCCGAAUGAAAGUGCAUCUUAUACGUAUGGAUAAGAAUGACCUAAAGGUGGACAUGUUUGGAUCAGCUGGAGGAUUUAAAGAUGAAGAGGACAAAGACAUGAGAGCUUACAUCUACACUCAAAGAUUGAAAUCCUGACGAACUGUGCAAACCAAGCAGCCAUCAACUGGAGCUGCAGCCUGAGCUAGUGGCGGGUGAUUGUGCUGCAGAUGAAGAAAACAAAGAAGGAAGAGCAUCACCAAGAACACAAGCACUCCUCCACCAGAGUGGGAUCAUCUCGUACUUUUGGUUUAGCAGCUGUGUCAUGCUGAGGAGGAGGAGGUGCACCCAUUCACUGCUAUUACUAAGCACAAGUUGGUAAAUUACAGGAAAGGUCACAUUUUUUAACUCACUAUUUGACUUUUUGAAAGUGAACUUUAAGCUCCUGAUGGUGGAGAUACUUUCUGGUUGGUGUGUUGGUGAUAUUUUGUCCUCCUCUGAAGGAUCUCCAAUUUGAAUAAAGCAGGACAACACAUUUUAAAGUGUGCAUACAACUUGAACUUACACUAACCUGUCACUUAAUAGUAAAUAAAAUCAUAUUAAUUGGUGUAAUAAUCCUUUAUCCUGUCUAAAUAAUCUGUAAUGUUCAUAACAAAGUAAGAAUAAAGUUUUAAACAAGUCUUA